rnacentral:lncRNA from 13 species
AUUAGAAGUUGUUGCACAGCAGGUUCUCCCCAUGUAAUGUGCCAAAUCUCAGGUUAUAGAGUUCACUUUUCUCAUUUAUAGGUGUGAAUAUAACUGCUAUAAUUGGCUUGAACAUCUGUAGAAUCAUGACACAGCUGUCUGAAUUCUACUUAUGGUGAGAUGUGCCUUCUUCCAUGAUUGUGAGGUCUCCCCAGCUUCAUGGAACUAAUUCUUAUGAGAAAUUUACAUCCAGGCACUAUCAUAGAU